rnacentral:rRNA from 1 species
GUGAGGAAUAUUGGUCAAUGGGCGAGAGCCUGAACCAGCCAAGUCGCGUGAAGGAAGAAGGAUCUAUGGUUCGUAAACUUCUUUUGCAGGGGAAUAAAGUGCAGGACGUGUCCUGUUUUGUAUGUACCCUGAGAAUAAGGAUCGACUAACUCCGUGCCAGCAGCCGCGGUAAUACGGAGGAUCCGAGCGUUAUCCGGAUUUAUUGGGUUUAAAGGGUGCGUAGGUGGUUUGAUAAGUCAGCGGUGAAAGUUUGCAGCUUAACUGUAAAAAUGCCGUUGAAACUGUCGGUCUUGAGUGUAAAUGAGGUAGGCGGAAUGCGUGGUGUAGCGGUGAAAUGCAUAGAUAUCACGCAGAACUCCGAUUGCGAAGGCAGCUUACUAAGCUACAACUGACACUGAAGCACGAAAGCGUGGGGAUCAAACAGGAUUAGAAACCCUGGUAGUCC